UAUGGUUCUGCGGGGGCUCUACGCAGAGCUAGCACCGUAGACUACGUAAGUGGCCUGAAGUUUAUACUUGUGCGCUGGUGGGUGUGUGUGUGUGUGUGUGUGUGUGUGUGUGUG